rnacentral:rRNA from 1 species
AACGAACGCUGGCGGCAUGCCUAACACAUGCAAGUCGAACGAAGGCUUCGGCCUUAGUGGCGCACGGGUGCGUAACGCGUGGGAAUCUGCCCCUCGGUUCGGAAUAACAGUUAGAAAUGACUGCUAAUACCGGAUGAUGACUUCGGUCCAAAGACUUAUCGCCGAGGGAUGAGCCCGCGUAAGAUUAGGUAGUUGGUGGGGUAAAGGCCUACCAAGCCGACGAUCUUUAGCUGGUCUGAGAGGAUGAUCAGCCACACUGGGACUGAGACACGGCCCCAGAUCCUACGGGAGGCCGCAGUGGGGAAUAUUUGACAAUGGGCGAAAGCCUGAUCCAGCAAUGCCGCGUGAGUGAUGAAGGCCUUAGGGUUGUAAAGCUCUUUUACCAGGGAUGAUAAUGACAGUACCUGGAGAAUAAGCUCCGGCUAACUCCGUGCCAGCCGCCGCGGUAA